ACGGGUGAGUAACGCGUGGGAAUCUACCCAUCUCUGCGGAAUAGCUCUGGGAAACUGGAAUUAAUACCGCAUACGCCCUACGGGGGAAAGAUUUAUCGGGGAUGGAUGAGCCCGCGUUGGAUUAGCUAGUUGGUGGGGUAAAGGCCUACCAAGGCGACGAUCCAUAGCUGGUCUGAGAGGAUGAUCAGCCACAUUGGGACUGAGACACGGCCCAAACUCCUACGGGAGGCAGCAGUGGGGAAUAUUGGACAAUGGGUGCAAGCCUGAUCCAGCCAUGCCGCGUGAGUGAUGAAGGCCUUAGGGUUGUAAAGCUCUUUCACCGAUGAAGAUAAUGACGGUAGUCGGAGAAGAAGCCCCGGCUAACUUCGUGCCAGCAGCCGCGGUAAUACGAAGGGGGCUAGCGUUGUUCGGAAUUACUGGGCGUAAAGCGCACGUAGGCGGAUAUUUAAGUCAGGGGUGAAAUCCCGCAGCUCAACUGCGGAACUGCCUUUGAUACUGGGUAUCUUGAGUAUGGAAGAGGUAAGUGGAAUUCCGAGUGUAGAGGUGAAAUUCGUAGA
rnacentral:rRNA from 1 species